CCAGGUGCCUGGCAAGCCUCUUUUCUAAGCACAUGACAAGACUGAGUUCAUUUCAUUCUCUUCCCAACCCCAGGAGCUAGACUCAGCGUCCUAAGGACCAGGACUGAGGGUUUCCAAAGCACGUAGGAGAUAUUCAGUUGGAUAUGCUGAACCUUUUCACACCUUAAGCUUGUCUCGUAGGACACGUUCCCGAAAUGGCUGCCAGGGCUUUGCCUCCGGGUCCGGAGAAGACAACUUUCCUGUAAGGGAUCCUGACGGCCUGUGUCGGAGGAGAAAACUUCCCACCGCCUGUUCUGAGCCGGCUCUCACGGACAGAGACACAUGUCAAUUGCGUGCCCAAGUCUACAUGGAGGAGCACAGAGAGGUGCUUGUUCUAGUUCUUUUCAUUAUAAAUCCUGCUACAAGGACAACGGAAGGGAAAUGGUCCCACGUUUUCAUUGAAAAGUCUGGGGAGGGGAGGAAAGAGUAAACGUCUUUGCGAUCAGAU